rnacentral:misc_RNA from 1 species
GUACCCUCAAGCUUUGCUUGGUGUUGGGCGUUUUUGUCUCGGGUCCGCCCCGAGACUCGCCUUAAAAUCAUUGGCAGCCGGCCUACUGGUUUCGGAGCGCAGCACAUUUUUGCGCUUUGUCCAGUCGUGGUCUUGCGUCCAUGAAGCGAAUAUUUUCAAC